AUUGAACGCUGGCGGCAGGCUUAACACAUGCAAGUCGAGCGGAGAUGAGGUGCUUGCACCUUAUCUUAGCGGCGGACGGGUGAGUAAUGCUUAGGAAUCUGCCUAUUAGUGGGGGACAACAUUCCGAAAGGAAUGCUAAUACCGCAUACGUCCUACGGGAGAAAGCAGGGGAUCUUCGGACCUUGCGCUAAUAGAUGAGCCUAAGUCGGAUUAGCUAGUUGGUGGGGUAAAGGCCUACCAAGGCGACGAUCUGUAGCGGGUCUGAGAGGAUGAUCCGCCAAGCUGGGACUGGGACACGGCCCAGACUCCUACGGGAGGCAGCAGUGGGGAAUAUUGGACAAUGGGGGGAACCCUGAUCCAGCCAUGCCGCGUGUGUGAAGAAGGCCUUAUGGUUGUAAAGCACUUUAAGCGAGGAGGAGGCUACUGAGACUAAUACUCUUGGAUAGUGGACGUUACUCGCAGAAUAAGCACCGGCUAACUCUGUGCCAGCCGCCGCGGUAAGAC
rnacentral:rRNA from 1 species